rnacentral:rRNA from 1 species
UACAGAGGGUGCAAACGUUGUUCGGAUUUACUGGGCGUAAAGCGCGCGUAGGCGGCCUGGCAAGUGGAAGGUGAAAUCCCUCGGCUUAACCGAGGAACUGCCCUCCAAACUGCUUGGCUUGAGUCCGGGAGAGGUGAGUGGAAUUCCCAGUGUAGCGGUGAAAUGCGUAGAUAUUGGGAGGAACACCAGUGGCGAAGGCGGCUCACUGGACCGGAACUGACGCUGAGGCGCGAAAGCGUGGGGAGCAAACGGG